CCCAGCCCGGCUGCCCCUCUGCGGGAGCCCUGUCCGCCUUGUCCUUGCCCUCCCACUCUGGGCCACCAGGUCCUCAGCCAAGAGCCUUGAAGGGACCCACAGUGCCCCCAAGCUGCCCUCAGCCGGAAGAGCCCUCCGGGGCCGUGGAGAGGGUCCCCCGAAAACAUCCUGCACUGGGCCGAUGGGGCCGCCCACGGCGUUCUCCUCCCAAGGGCGACUGAGGGACCUGGGUGAGACCUCAGGACAAGGUGGAGCCUCCAGAGCUACCUUGGCCCCAGAACCUGCUCCCCAGCGGAGCCCCACCCAGGCGUGUCUGGCCCGCCCCAGCUGGCAGGCCUGGGAAAAUGGGUCAGACACUCAAAGCCUCCUUCCGAGGAGGCCUGGACAGGCCUGGCCGGAUGCCUGACCCAGAAAGUGCCCCUUGGAGCCUGUGGGGAUCGAGAAGGCCGGCCAAGGCCUUCCAAGCUCAGUGAACAUGACCCAGUUAGGUCCAGGGGCUGUGUGGGCAUCACCGCAGGAGACUCAGAGCUGGCCGCAAACACGGCUGCAGCAGACACGGAACACAGCGGCUUCCCACAAACCAGCCCUGGGGAAACCGCAGGCAGGCACAUGCAGGCUCAGAACCGGAGAGGGCGCUGCACGGGAGAAGACAGCAAAGGCCUCAUCAGGCCUGAAGGGUGUCGGCGACGGAGCUGGGCUUCCUGUGCCUGAGAGCCAGAUUCCUUAGUGUGCACUGGCAGAAACGCCCCGCGAGGAGCAGGGAUGGAGGCCGGAGGCUGGAGUGACCUGGUUUUCCUGUCUCUAAGCGAGCUCUUGGACUGGCAAUUCUAGACAUUGACAAGUUUGCACGUCGUGCCUGGUGUGGUGGCGCAUGCCUGUGAUCCAGCACUUGGCAGGCUGAGGCAGGAGGAUCACCCGAAAGUUCAAGGCCAGGCUGUACUACACAGUGAGAUCCUGUCUCAAGACAAAACAAAAAGUUUACUUGUUAUUCUCCCAGAUAAAUCAAGAAAUUUAGGAUUGUUUAAUAUUCUCCAUGACUUUUUUUUUUUGGUACCGGGCAUCGAACUCAGGACCUUGUGCUUGCGAGGCAGGCGGUGGAACCACUGAGCUAAAUCCCCAGUUGUACUCCACAAUUUUUCUAAAGGUAAAAUUUUAGGAACCUUCUCAAUAAAUUACCCUCAUCCAUAAACUGGCAGGGGAAAAUAUCUUGUUUGGUGCAAUACUCCCUCUCUAACCCCAGUCAGACAGACUGCUGGUUAAUAGUUGUAGAUGUAGAUUUGUGGGUAACAUAGUAUUUGGUGCCUCUCUCUCUGCCUCUCUCUCUCUCUCUCUCUCUCUCUCUCUCUCCUCUCUCAAUUGAGACAGGGUCUUGCUAUGUAGCCCAGGCUGGCCUCAAGCUCAUAGUGAUCCUCCUGCCUCAGCUUCCCAAGUGCUGGGAUCGCAGGCGUGCGCCACCAUGCCCAGCCCUAGUUCCUCCAUCUUGAAAUUCAUGUGGCUGAUUU
rnacentral:lncRNA from 1 species